rnacentral:rRNA from 1 species
ACAGAGGGUGCGAGCGUUGUCCGGAAUCACUGGGCGUAAAGGGCGCGUAGGUGGCGACCCAAGUCUGUGGUGAAAGCUCGACGCUCGACGUCGAGUCGGCCAUAGAUACUGGGUUGCUUGAGCACUGUAGAGGCAGAUGGAAUUCCGGGUGUAGCGGUGGAAUGCGUAGAGAUCCGGAAGAACACCGGUGGCGAAGGCGGUCUGCUGGGCAGUUGCUGACGCUGAGGCGCGACAGCGUGGGGAGCAAACAGGA